rnacentral:tRNA from 1 species
UCCCUGGUAAUCCAGUGGUUAAGACCCUGAGCUUUCACUUCCGAGGGCCCAGGUUCAAUCCCUGGUCAGGGAA